rnacentral:rRNA from 1 species
GCGAACGCUGGCGGCGUGGAUAAGGCAUGCAAGUCGCGCGAUCAUGAACGGCCGCAAGGUGUUCAUGAUAGCGGCAAACGGGUGCGUAACGCGUGGGAAACCUGCCCUGAAGUCUGGGACAACCCGGCGAAAGCCGGGCUAAUACCGGAUUGACCCAAUUGGUCGCAUGAUUGAUUGGGUAAAGGUGGCGCGAUCGUAAGAUCGCUACUGCUUCAGGAGGGUCCCGCGUCCCAUCAGCUAGUUGGUGGGGUAACGGCCUACCAAGGCGUUUGACGGGUAGCUGGCCUGAGAGGGUGGUCAGCCACACUGGGACUGAGACACUGCCCAGACUCCUACGGGAGGCUGCAGUCGAGGAUCUUUGGCAAUGGGCGAAAGCCUGACCAUGCGACGCCGCGUGCGGGAUGAAGGCCUUCGGGUCGUAAACCGCUGUCACGAGGGAUGAAGGCUUCCCGGGUGAAUAACUCGGGAAGCUUGACGGUACCUCGAGAGGAAGCCACGGCUAACUCCGUGCCAGCAGCCGCGGUGAUACGGAGGUGGCGAGCGUUGCUCGGAUUCACUGGGUGUAAAGGGCAAGUAGGCGGUUUUGUAAGUCGGGUGUGAGAUGCCACGGCUCAACCGUGGAACUGCGCCCGAAACUACAAGACUUGAGGGCAGGAGAGGCGAACGGAAUUCUCGGUGUAAGGGUGAGAUCUGUAGAUAUCGAGAGGAACACCAGUGGCGAAGGCGGUUCGCUGGCCUGCUUCUGACGCUGAGAGGCGAAAGCUAGGGGAGCAAACAGGAUUAGAUACCCUGGUAGUCCUAGCCGUAAACUAUGACGACUAGGUGUUGGCUCACAUCUGUGGGUCAGUGCCGUAGGUAACCUGUUAAGUCGUCCACCUGGGGAGUACGGCCGCAAGGUUGAAACUCAAAGGAAUUGACGGGGGCCAGCACAAGCGGUGGAACAUGUGGUUCAAUUCGAUGCUACGCGAAGAACCUUACCCAGGCUUGACAUGCUUGAAGUAGGGACCUGAAAGGGCGACGACUCGUAACCAGUCGAGAACUUGCACAGGUGCUGCAUGGCUGUCGCCAGCUCGUGCCGUGAGGUGUUGGCUUAAGUGCCAAAACGAGCGCAACCAUCGCCCAUUGUUGCGACCAGGAUCGAAAGAUUGCUGAGCACUCUAUGGGGACUGCCAGCGACGAGCUGGAGGAAGGUGGUGAUGACGUCAAGUCCGUACGGCCUUUAUGCCUGGGGCGACACACGUGUUACAAUGCGGUUGACAACGCGCUGCUAACCCGCGAGGGCAAGCUAAUCGCUUAAACGACCGCUCAGUUCAGAUCGCAGGCUGCAACUCGCCUGCGUGAAGCUGGAAUCGCUAGUAACGGCGGAUCAGCUACGCCGCCGUGAAUACGUUCCCUGGCCUUGUACACACCGCCCGUCAAGCGAUGGAAGUCGGAGGCACCCGAAGUCGGUGACUCAACUCGCAAGAGAGAGAGCCGCCCAAGGUGAAUCUGGUAACUGGCGCU